rnacentral:lncRNA from 1 species
UAGUGAAUUCUGGAUGGUCCGUCCAGCUGACCCUCUUCUCGGGGAUGUACCCCACGUCGCAGAACGUGGCGCUGCCCGGUUCUUCCUUGAUGUAGACCCGCUUCUUGUACCAUUCGGUGAGAGAAGUGUUCCAUGAGCAGCUGAGGUACCGGUUCUUCAUCCCAUCACGCAGAUUGAGGUAUACUCCACCUGCAAUCUUGGAGCCUCCAACUGCACCUUUCUUCCUCAGA